ACGAUGAAGCUGGAGCUUGCUCCGGUGGAUUAGUGGCGAACGGGUGAGUAACACGUGAGCAAUCUGCCCUUGACUCUGGGAUAACUGCGGGAAACUGUAGCUAAUACCGGAUACUUUCCUCGGUGGGCAUCCACUGGGGAAGAAAGAAUUUCGGUCAAGGAUGAGCUCGCGGCCUAUCAGCUAGUUGGUGAGGUAAUGGCUCACCAAGGCGACGACGGGUAGCCGGCCUGAGAGGGUGACCGGCCACACUGGGACUGAGACACGGCCCAGACUCCUACGGGAGGCAGCAGUGGGGAAUAUUGCACAAUGGACGCAAGUCUGAUGCAGCAACGCCGCGUGAGGGACGAAGGCCUUCGGGUUGUAAACCUCUUUUAGCAGGGAAGAAGCGAAAGUGACGGUACCUGCAGAAAAAGCACCGGCUAACUACGUGCCAGCAGCCGCGGUAAUACGUAGGGUGCAAGCGUUGUCCGGAAUUAUUGGGCGUAAAGAGCUCGUAGGCGGUUUGUCACGUCUGCUGUGAAAUUUCGAGGCUCAACCUCGAACUUGCAGUGGGUACGGGCAGGCUAGAGUGCAGUAGGGGAGAUGGGAAUUCCUGGUGUAGCGGUGGAAUGCGCAGAUAUCAGGAGGAACACCAAUGGCGAAGGCACAUCUCUGGGCUGUAACUGACGCUGAGGAGCGAAAGCGUGGGGAGCGAACAGGAUUAGAUACCCUGGUAGUCCACGCCGUANACGGUGGGUGCUAGCUGUGGGCCACAUUCCACGUGGUCCGUGACGAAGUUAACACAUUAAGCACCCCGCCUGGGGAGUACGGCCGCAAGGCUAAAACUCA
rnacentral:rRNA from 1 species